rnacentral:lncRNA from 1 species
UGCAGAUCAUAUCAACACAACAACUUAACGCGCCUCUGAAGAAACAAAAGACGCAUCCACCCACGAGCGCGUGCGACAGAGUAAGCAGCUACGAGAUUCUCUACCUCCAGCUCCACGCCGCUGGCCUGCGAUUUUGUGGCGGCAGAGGAGGCGGUGCGGGCGAGCGGACGUCCGGCCGAGAAGAAAGAAGGAAAAAAAAAUGAAUAGGCC